CAGCUGGCAUACUGAGGUGUCCUGCCUAAGAGGGGCUGCAGGUAGCGCUCACCCUCCUAGGCGCUGCUGACGUCCGAGAGAAAAGGGAGAUUUCAGACAUCCCCUUCUCUUGCAUCCUUUUUGGUCUUGACUCUACAGAAAUGACACCAAUAGACAUCCAGACUUCUAAGAAUAAAGUUCAGAUUUGACUCCUGGAUCUUAUGGAGUCAUGUUCAACAUCCAGCAGUUAGCAAAUUUGUGAGCAAUCACAAAUGAGAACUUGAAUGAAUAUGCGAACUGGCUUCCUUUUUCCAUGAAGUGAUGCUUCAGAACAGAAAUGAGCUGGUCAAGCUGAAAUGCCAAGCAUAAUACAAGCAGUGGAGAUGAUCCCAAUGUCAGUAAC